CGUUGUUGACUGUGGUUGAACCUUGAUUAUCCUGUCACGAUAUGUGUGUGUGUGUGUGUGUGUGUGUGUGUGUGUGUGUGUGUGUGUGUGUGUGUGUGUGUGUGCACACACGUUAUAAGACAGUCUUUUCUCGUUUCGUAAAAUAAGCUUGUGUCCCAAUCUGUUCACGAGCCGCCUUUAGUCCGGCAGCGAUCGUUUCGGCGCGCGUGACGCCACACUCCAACAACGUACACGUCUGAUCCGCCGCCGCCUGCCAGGGCAACACUGGCGUGCCGGAAAUCCUCACCACCACCACCACCACCACCACCACCACCACCAUGAAAACUUAUCAAACUCGGUUCAAACCAAUUACUGACGUACUCGCGCGCGCGCACACACACACACACACACACACACACACACACACACACACACACACACACACACACACACACACACACACACACACACACACACACACACACACACACACACACACCUAAAACCAUACCACAAAAUAAACUAAACAUGCAUUGCACAUUAAUAAACAAAUAUUUAUUCUCACCUGUUGUAUUACACAGCAUCACAACAGCUACAUUACGAAAACUACCCGAAUGUCGUCACAAAAUGCUGAACCGCGAUAAGAGUGUUGAGAAAGGAGCGUAGAGGGUAGCCACACUGAUAGCCUGGCCGGAGCGUGCCGUGGGUGCACUCUUAUCUCCGCCUCAGUUUGUGUGAUGGCGUGAGUGCGGCUACUCCGUGCUGCCUCCUUCGCUCUUGUGCCUCUCCCUCCUCAUCUCCAGCAUCUUGAGUGCAGCCUUUCAGCCCUUCAGGCUUCUCUUAAUCAGCCAAGGAUCUGUGUUCUCUCGUAAAACCCUUCAACUGCGCCGCCGCCACCAGCACUGCCUCCUGGCCACCCCGGAUUCCUAUGUUUACUUUGUGCCUCGCUCUUGGGAAUCUCGGACGAGGGUUAACUGGACACGCCUACGUUUGUUUAAUAUCCUGGAAGUGGUGUGCCUCGUAGCUUGCUCCACCAAUCCUCCUGAGAGAGAACUAGGCAGGUGGGGUGUGUUAAUGUACCUGUGGAUCGGACUGGUGAGACAAACAGGCAGACGUGAGGCGGCAAGCAAGCAGGAACUUCAUCAUCUACCAGGUGCGUAGCAAGCGAGUGGAGAUGGAAGAGGCAGAUAAGAAGGAGUACUGUCCAAUCCAUUGCCAUCAAGAUAAAGCGGAACUCUUGUAGAAAAGACAGGUUGAGAUUUGCUCUCAGGAAAGAUUUCUCUCUCCUUUCUCGCAUCACGUGGAGCGACUGAACCGGAGGGACCUCGAAAUAAAUCCUCACAGACGCUCGCAUCGACUUAGCAUAUCGUUUAUCGCUGAAGCAACCUGGAGAAAUAAAUAAUUCCACCUUGACGGAAAAGAAACACGGCAGGGAAUUCCAACAACAGUCUCUGCUGACGUCGCCCACGAGAGAAGAGUGUGAGGGAGGAAGGAACGGAGCGAGGCGCGGUGAGGCGAGUCUCCAGGAAGCCCAAGCAGUGUUGACAGAGGCAGCUAGAAUUGUUUACACAUCCCACGCUGACCUUGAUAGUGAGCCGUUCACCGCCGCUAUAAAUCUGAUUGCUGAGUGCCGCUCUUUCUUCCCCCUUGUGGUGAGGCAAGAAUACCUGCCCAUCGCACCUGACGCCUCUACCCAUAUUCACCUGAGCUUCUUACCUGCUCAAUGCUGGUGAAUUAAGGAGUUCAUGACAGUCAACAAAGAGGGAAAAAAGUGUGAUGCUACAAGUCUACCUGUCCACUUACCUGUUUCCCUUACACCUGUAUUUACACCUGCGACCGUCCUUAUCUGAGCUAUUUAGAAGAGUAAGGUGUCAAUAAUCAAGAAAGGGUGAAAAGUGCAAUGUAGCAACGAGCAAGUGUACCUUUCCACGCGUCUUCUCCCCUACACCUGUACCGACACCUGUUCCCUUUCCUUACCUGACUUGCCUUGAAAAUUUAACGUAAAAUCAGGUAAUCAAUAAAUGAGAGUAAAAAGAGGACUUGAAGUAGCUGGAAGGGUAUUAUCAGUAAACAAAAGAGCAUCAAGUGUAUAAUUUAGUUGGAACUCAUAAACACCGAUUGCGGGGAGGGGAUUAACGAGGCUCACAUUUUAUCGUGCUACUAACUUCCAAACUCCUCGUUAAACACCGUAACUCUGGCGCGCAAAGGCGAGACGCUUGUAAUGCCGAGCCGGAGCGGAACGCAGGAAGAAAGGAAGCAAGAAAAUGAACAUAAUGCGAAAAAGAUAACUACUAUAGAAAAAAAAAAAAGUAACUACUAGUGACGCGCGAGUUUCACCUGCGAUACCUGAGUGUAAUUAACCGUGACUAAUGCUUAAUGGAAGCAAGGACUCACCUGAACAGUGUCCCGAUAACUCCCUAAUUAAGGCUCCCGGCUACCUGUGCUCACCUGUAGCAGUAAUUAGACUUACCUCAACGUGCAUCAUUCUCACGGCGGCGCUUUUUGGGUGGGGUACAAGGCGCAAAUUACACCGCCUAGUGCUCAUUUGCGAGGCCACUGCAGGGAUUGGUUCUGAAAAAUGAGGAAUGCAAGGAAGAUUAGAGAAGAAAUUCAAGAAGCAAAUCGGGAGGAAUAAGAAAUAAUAACAAGAAUAGGAAUUUAAUUAUGGCUGAUUGGAUGCGAGAUGACAAAGUGAAGAUCGAAACAGUAUCAAGAGAAAACGCUGAAUGAAAAUAAGAGAACGAACUCGAGAAUGUGAUAAUAAGAGAACAGAAGCAGAGGGAGAGAACAGAGGCAGGCGCGAAACCACAAAAGUCAAAUACUUGUCACUGGAAAAUAUUAAAAGACAUGGCGCGUUAGAGAACAAUGAGAGAAAAUGAGAAUCUUGAAUGGAGGUGAGGAGAUAAAAGGAAGAGGGACAUAAAUCUUAGCACAACAAAAGGAAGUGAAGAAGAUGAGAGACAGAGGAUAAACAAAACGAAAAAAGGCGUGAAAACAUAAUACGCUAAAGAAGGAGGCAGGAAGAAAAAUAAGAUAAAAAAAAACAAGUGAAAAAUCGAGAGGUAAAGAAAGAUAAAUACAAAAGGAAAAAGAAAUAACAAAAGCCGGACAUUACAUAAACAAAGGAAAGGGAAGACUGAACAUUAAAAAAAACAUAAUACAAGAAUAAACUGAGUAAAUAGAGAGAACAAAAGAGAAAGAUAAAGAAGGAGACGAAGGGUAUGGGUUCAUUGCUAAGAUCUGAUUUCUGCUGGCAAUGCGUCCGCUAUUCUGGGCGAAGGAAGUGGGCCGCUGCAUGGGUUCCUGCUGCCUCUGCGCCUGCUACCCGUUCUCCAGGUGAGUAUUGCCAGCGUUGCAUCGCCGCCUCACUUGGCAACACUGUAGAGCGUAGGGAGUCAGGGUAACAUCGCGGAGAAAAUGGUGAGUGUGUCAUUUCCCGUUUUCUGUUUGGCUUAAGAGAAAAAAAGAGGGGAAAGGGAAAAAAACGAUCCACGGAGCCUCAUCUUGGAACACGGUAAGGCCAUUUGGUGUUUGAAUAUUUUAUUUCCUCGUUUUGUUCUGUUUUUUUAUUCAUAUCCUGAGGAAUUAUUGCUUAGUUUCCCCCUUUUUCCCCACCGGUGAUUGAAAAGAAAAUGGAAGGUAAGAGGAUAUCCUUUUUUUUUUUUACUAUAUUCUUAGGUAUUCAUGGUGACGUCAAAAGAAAACUGUUUACUAUUAUUUUAGGUGUGUCUUUGUUAUUUUAUACUGGUGAAUUACUGGUUAGUUUCCCCUUUUUAAUUUACGGUGAUUAAAAAGAAAAUGGAAGGUAAGAAUAAAUCCAAUUUCUUUUUUACUACGUUUACAAGUAUUCAUGACGUGAAGAGAAAAGAAAACGAGAUAUUUUAGGAGUGUGUCUACUAUUUAUGGAUUAACGCUCUGUUCAAAUUAAACUGGCGGAGAAAUCCAACCCUGCUUUCAGUGAUUUUUUUUUUCUACUUUUUUUUGUGAUGACGUGAAAAGAAAACGAAGUGGUGCAAUUAUUUUAAGUGUGUCUGUUCCAUUUAGCUUGACGGAGAUGCCCGAUCCCCGCUCCACGUCCGCCUCGCAGUGUGAUUGGCUGUAAUUAAGUGAGUGAUGUACUUGAUUGGUCGUCGGUGGAGGAAGAGGAGUGUCAUUUAUGCUAAUUAAAAAUAAAUAAACUUGAA